AUUGAACGCUAGCGGGAUGCUUUACACAUGCAAGUCGAACGGCAGCGCGGACUUCGGUCUGGCGGCGAGUGGCGAACGGGUGAGUAAUGUAUCGGAACGUGCCCAGUAGCGGGGGAUAACUACGCGAAAGCGUAGCUAAUACUGCAUACGCCCUACGGGGGAAAGCAGGGGAUCGUAAGACCUUGCACUAUUGGAGGGGCCGAUAUCGGAUUAGCUAGUUGGUGAGGUAACGGCUCACCAAGGCGACGAUCCGUAGCUGGCGUGAGAGGACGACCAGCCACACUGGGACUGAGACACGGCCCAGACUCCUACGGGAGGCAGCAGUGGGGAAUGUUGGACAAUGGGGGCAACCCUGAUCCAGCCAUCCCGCGUGUGCGAUGAAGGCCUUCGGGUUGUAAAGCACUUUUGGCAGGAAAGAAACGUCGCGGGCUAAUACCCCGUGGAACUGACGGUACCUGCAGAAUAAGCACCGGCUAACUACGUG
rnacentral:rRNA from 1 species